GUCACGCUUAGCAUAGAAACUGGGGGCAGUUUCUCCAAAGUAGCUGUUGCUUGCAGACUGGCUGGGCAUCAGUCUGAUGGUGCCAUUUGUCAGAUGCUUCACAGAGACAAGAAAGAUCCUCAAAAGCUUUCAGGCUCAAAACAGAUGAAGAAACUAAUGUCUAUGAUGACAUGAAGAAAGAGUGAUGUGGAUAUUCUAGGAGGAUGGAGAAGGGAAAAUACAACUAUUAUAUGAAUAAAGUGAUAAAUGGAAGAUUUUUCUAGUAAUAUUUUUAAACCUCUACGUAGGUGACUUUGUAAGGACCCUAACUGAUUUGGCUACUUUGCAUAAAUGUCUGACUGAUAAUAUGACAAAAGCAGUACUCCGACAGAUGAUGUUGAUUUGAAAUUCUCAACCCUAAUGAAGACACUCCAGAUACACAACAGCACUACUGAAGGCAGAAGAAUAGAAUUUAAAAUCCAGAUUUUGAAUUCACAAGACCAAUCCUGAACCAGAUGUGUGUACAGAAGGGCACAGUCACAUUGAUUCAUUUCAAAGGGGGAGUGGGGGAAAGACAAAAAAAGAGUAUUAAGAGUAACAUUCUUUCAAUUUCAUAUAUUCUGCUCACUUAAAUGUCACCAUGUUAUUUUGAAGCUUCCACAAAAAGAAUACCUGUUGUAGGAUGCACAUUUCAACACAAAAUAAAAAUGCCUCUCAAAGGCAAUUAUUUUGAAUGAGAACCACAAUUUCAGCUUUUCACUUGGCAUAUAUUUACAGAAUAUAAAAACAUAAACAAAUUGGGCAGAUGCAGAUUUUUUUGCCCCUCUUUAGACAGGAUAUUGAGGCAUAAACCAGUGAACUAAAGCAUACUGUUCCCCUGGCCUUGCCACCUAAGCUGACAUUUGCAGUAUGCAUAUGCAGUACUAAUAAGAUAAAAGAAUCACACAUGCACCAUUAAUUCAUAAAAGCAUCAUUGAAAAAGAAGAUAAGUGGGAAAAGGAGGAAAAUUGUUUCAAAGCAGUUCAAGGCCCCAGCCUGAUUACAAUUUGGCAGGAACUCCCUCCCCAGUUCUACUUCAGUUAUGCAGGAAAUUUGCAGUAUUUCAACCAACCACGUCAGUCUGUCAAGAAACAGAUGCGCCUCUUUCAAUUGCUUCCACGGAGUUUGAGUAACUUGGAGAAAAAAAAAUUUCUGGAAGUCGGGGUACCUAUGGUAAAGGACGGCUUGGAGAAAAAAACUCAAACACACCUUCUUUCUCCCGUUUUGACCAGAGGGAGAAGUUCUCAGCUAUAUAAAUGCUGGUAAAGCAGGACUCUAUUGCGAAGCCCAGCAUGGCCACCAUCCACAAUGUGCAACAGGCUUCACCUAAUAUUCAGGCUUCAUUUGGCUUUUUAUUCUUCUCUUACAUGACUUUGUCUGCUUCUUCAACUACCAAGCUCCAUGGUAACAUUCAGCAAUACCACAAGGAUGGCUUGCUAAGCAGAACAGAUUUUAGUAUGACUUAGAGCAUAAUGUUUAGACCCUGUUUUCACAUCAUCAGAUUUCAUUCUGAUCAUGGCCAUAGCUACUCUGCUUAAUAUAAUUAAUAAAUUAGAAGUCAUGGGCUUAUACACUUAAAAAAAAAUAUACA